rnacentral:rRNA from 1 species
GACGAACGCUGGCGGCGUGCUUAACACAUGCAAGUCGAGCGGAAAGGCCCUUCGGGGUACUCGAGCGGCGAACGGGUGAGUAACACGUGAGUAACCUGCCCCAGACUUUGGGAUAACCCUCGGAAACGGGGGCUAAUACCGGAUACGACACAGCUUCGCAUGGGGUCUGUGUGGAAAGUUUUUCGGUUUGGGAUGGGCUCGCGGCCUAUCAGCUUGUUGGUGGGGUGAUGGCUUACCAAGGCGACGACGGGUAGCCGGCCUGAGAGGGCGACCGGCCACACUGGGACUGAGACACGGCCCAGACUCCUACGGGAGGCAGCAGUGGGGAAUAUUGCACAAUGGGCGGAAGCCUGAUGCAGCGACGCCGCGUGAGGGAUGACGGCCUUCGGGUUGUAAACCUCUUUCAGCAGGGACGAAGCGUAAGUGACGGUACCUGCAGAAGAAGCGCCGGCCAACUACGUG